GCCAAAAACUCAGCCCCUCCUCACCAAAUACAACAAUCACCAUAUAUCACACUAAGUAAAACAUUCUCCCCAUCUAGUAAAGGCGAUUAAAAAAUGUCUAGGAGCUUUAAAAACAGUACCGCAAGGGAAAAGUGAAAUAAAAAUGAAAUAACUUAAAGCAUAGCAAAGCAGAGACAUGACCUCGUACCUUUUGCAUCAUGGUCUAGCUAGUCUUAUCAAGCAUAAAGGCAUUUUAGUUUGACCCCCCGAAACCAAGCGAGCUACUUCGAAACAGCCAUUAUGAGCCAACCCGUCUCUGUUGCAAAAGAGUGGGAAGAUUUCCAAGUAGAGGUGACAGACCUACCGAGCCUGGUGAUAGCUGGUUAUUCAGAAAACGGAUGUAAGUCCUCCCCCAAGCUUCCCCAUACCAUAAAAUAUAAUCCCAAGCUUAGGAGCCAUUCAAAUAAGGUACAGCCUAUUUGAAACAGGAAACAACCUCAAACAUCGGGUAAUUGCGCCAAGCAAAUGACCAAGUGGGCCUAAAAGCAGCCAACUUUAAAAAAGCGUUAAAGCUUAAUCACAGCGCUAUUUAAUUCCCCUAAAUAUUAAAAACCCUCAACCAAUACUGAAUGAAUCCAUAAUCAUAUGGAAAACCUCAUGCUAGAACUAGUAAUAAGAAGAAGAACUUCUCCUAAAUGUAAGCGUGAGCCGCAAUGAACAACUCCACGGCAAUUACCGUUGAUGAACCACUAGUAGCAACAAACUAACAAGAAAAACCUACUUACCCCAACGUCAACCUUACACCAGAACAUUACAGGAAAGAUUAAAAAAAGAGGAAGGAACUCGGCAAACUAUUAACCCCGCCUGUUUACCAAAAACAUCGCCCCCUGACCUUCAUAGGGGGUCCAGCCUGCCCAGUGACCAAGUUAAACGGCCGCGGUACCCUAACCGUGCGAAGGUAGCGCAAUCACUUGUUCUUUAAAUGAGGACUAGUAUGAACGGCAUCACGAGGGUUACACUGUCUCCCCCUUUUAAUCAAUGAAACUGAUCUUCCCGUGAAGAAGCGGGAAUAAACAUAUAAGACGAGAAGACCCCAUGGAGCUUUAAACUCAGCAUCAACUGCCCCCGCCACACCAUAUAAUACAAGCAGACCCUGACCGCUGGUUUUCGGUUGGGGUGACCGCGGAGUAAAACAAAACCUCCACAAUGAAAGAAGCACCUUCCUAAUCAAAGAGCUACAACUCAAAGAAUCAAUAAAUUGACAUAAAUUGACCCAAAUAAUUUUGAUCAACGAACCAAGUUACCCUGGGGAUAACAGCGCAAUCCAUUUCAAGAGCUCAUAUCGACAAAUGGGUUUACGACCUCGAUGUUGGAUCAGGGUAUCCCAGUGGUGCAGCCGCUACUAAAGGUUCGUUUGUUCAACGAUUAAAACCCU
rnacentral:rRNA from 1 species